rnacentral:lncRNA from 10 species
GGUUUCCAAGCCCUUUAUUUCAAUAAAUCUUUCCUGAUUAAUUUAGGAAGCACAAAGGAAGUAUCUGACUCCUGUAGAUACCACACUUCCCUAUCCCUCACCAUGUAUUUAUUCUUAUAUUUGACUCUUUUAUUUUUUUAGUAAGUACUUUUAAAUUUUAUAUAAAACUUGUUAUAGGCUCUCUAAUUACAGACUACAAUGACUCAACCAAAAAGUGGUGAACAUGAUUUUAAAAAAUGGCACAAGCUAUUUGAAAUGGUAAGAUCCAAGACAUAGGUUCGUGCUAACCAUGACUAAAAAUAGGUUGUUCUUUCUUUCCAGACCAACACUAUGACUCUGUAUCUUUAUACCUUCAACUUAUGUUCACAAGAAACUUCUGAGUUAUCUAACUUGAGAGCUUCUGAGGACAUUUUUAGGCUGACUUCUUUUGUGUGGCUACAUUAGUAGGGUAAACAGUGUGGGAAGGAAAGGUGUCAGCAGAGCAAAGUCAUCAGUCAUGGAAAGUAAUACCAUAUGCUUGUCUUUUUUCUAACUGGCCAGAGCCAAGUCACGAAAUAUGGAUACACCAUCUUUUGCAGGUUUAACCUGGCAAGCAGUGAAAUCAUGUGGAAGGCUUCUCUUGGGUUUUCACAAAUCAGAGUUUAGAUUUAAGGGAAUCAUAUAAAGAAAAAGUUUGCUCAGGGUGGUAAUCCAAAGAGUAGGAACCCAUAAGAACAUACUAUUUGUUAAAAGACGACUGAACUCUCUCUGUUAUUAAAUGGCCAUCUUUUGAGCCUCCCCAAGAGCCUUCCCACCUUUCUAACUGCCUUCUUUCCCAUGCCCCAGUUACUUACCUAGUUGUGAAAUAUUUUUUAAUGUCACCUUUGACUUUUCCCAACUUAAAUUGCAUCUAUUUUCAUAUUCUAGAAAAAAGAAAAUAGCAUUUGAAAAAGGAAAAGAUGAUCAAGCACUUUCAAAGACAAAAAAUACAAUGCAUCUAUAAAGGCAAAUGCGGCAUUGAGUGACUAAAUCUGAUGAACAGGGAAGACUUCUGACAGACACUGAAUUGGGAGAAGGAGCCUUCCUGCUCCGAGACCAGUGACAUGUACUUGGAAAUGAUGUUUAUGAUUACCUGAGUAAAUGGUCAUAGGUUUCUGUGAAGAAGGACUGGUUGAAUCAUCACCAUAUAAUGUUGCCCACUCAUUGUAUAAUGAUUAUUCAUGGAUUUGGCCUCUUCUUCAGUCACCAGAUGCUCCAAGCAAAGGUUGAGAUGAAUCUUCAGAGGGAGAUGUGCUAUCUUGAAAGGCAGAAGUCUCUGCAUCAUCUUCAAGUAAAGGGGUGUAUUCAUGCUGCUGAUAAAGACAAACCCAAGACUAGGCUAUUUACAAAAGAAAGAGGUUUAAUGGACUACCAGUUCCAUGUGGCUGGGGAGGCCUCACAAUCAUGGUGGAUGGCAAGGAGGAUUAAGUCACAUCUUACAUGGAUGGCAGCAGGCAAAAAGAGAGAGCUUGUAUGGGGAAACUCCUGUUUUUAAAACCAUCAGCUUGCAUGAGACUUAUUCAGCACCAUAAGAACAGCACAGGAAAGACCUGCCCCCAUGAUUCAAUUACCUUCCACAACACAUGGGAAUUGUGAGAGGUACAAUUCAAGAUGAGAUUUGGGUGGGGGCAAUGUCAAACCAUAUCAUUCCAUUCCUGACCCUUCUCAAAUCUCAUGUCCUCACAUUUCAGAACUGAUCAUGCCCUCCCAACAGUUCCCCAAAGUCUCAACUCAUUUCAGCAUUAACUCAGAAGUCCACAGUCCAAAGUCUCAUCUGAGACAAGGCAAGUCCCUUUUGUCUAUGAGCCUGUAAAAUCAAAAGCAAGUUAGCUACUUCUUAGAUACAAUGGGAGUAGAGGCAUUGAGUAAAUACAACCAUUCCAAAUGGGAGACACUGGCCAAAACAAAGGGGUUAUGGGCCCCAUGCAAGUCCAAAAUCCAGCAGGGCAGUCAAAUCUUAAAGCUCCAAAAUGAUCUCCUUUGACUCCAUGUCUCACAUCCAGGUCAUGCUGAUGCAAGUGGUGGGUUCCCACGGCCUUGAGCAGCUCCAUUCCUGUGGCUUUGCAGGUACAGCCUCCUUCCAGGCUGAUUUCAUGGGUUGGCAUUGAGUCUCUGUGGCUUUUCCAGGUGCACGGUGCAAGCUGUUGGUGGAUCUACCAUUCUAGGGUCUGGAAGAUGGUGGCCUUCUUCUCGCAGCUCCACUAGGCAGUGCCCAAGUAGGAGCUCUGUUUGGGGGUUCCGACCCCACAUUUACCUUGUGCACUGCCCUAGCAGAGGUUCUCCAUGAAAGUGCCACCCCUGCAGCAAACUUCUGCCUGAACAUCCAGGCACUUCCAUACAACCUCCGAAAUUUAGGUGGAGGGUCCCAAAGCCCAAUUCUUGACUUCUGUGCACUGGCAGGCUCAACAUCAUGUAUAAGCUGCCAAGUCUUGAGGCUUGCACCCUCUGAAGCUGCAGCUUGAGCUCUACAUUGGCCCCUGUCAGCCACGGCUGGAGCAGCUGGGACAUAGGGCACCAAGUCCCUAUGCUGCACACAGCAUGGGGACCCUGGGGCCGGAAACAAAACCACCUUUUCCUCCUAGGCCUCUGGGACUGUGAUGGGAAGAGCUGCCAUGACAGCCUCUGAUACUCCCUGGAGAUAUUUUCCCCAUUGUCUUGGAGAUUAACAUUCGGCUCCGUGUCACUUAUGCAAAUUUCUGCAUCCAGCUUGGAUUUCUUCUCAGAAAAUGAGAUUUUCUUUUCUAUCAAUUGUCAGGCUGCAAAUUUUCCAAACUUUUAUGCUCUGUUUCCCUUUUAAAACUGAAUGACUUUAACAGCACCCAAGUCACAUCUUGAAUGCUUUGCUGCUUAGAAAUUUCUUCCAUCAAAUACCCUACAUCAUCUCUCUCAAGUUCAAAUUCCACAAAUCUCUAGGGCAGGGGCAAAAUGUCACUGGUCUCUUUGAUAAAAAAUAGCAAGAGUUACCUUUACUCCAGUACCCAACAAGUUUCUCAUCUCCAUCUGAAAUCACCUCAGCCUGAAUUUCAUUGUCCAUAUUACUAUCAGCAUUUUGUUCAAAGCCAUUUAACAUGUCUCUAGGAAGUUCCAAAGUUUUCCUUAUUUUCCUGGAUUCUUCUGAGCCCUCCAAACUGUUCCAACCUCUGCCUGUUACCCACUUCCAAAUUUGCUUCUACAUUUUCGGGUAUCUUUUCAGCAGGGCCCCACUCUACUGAUACCAAUUUACUGUAUUAGUCCGUAUUCAUGCUGCUGAUGAAGACAUACCCAAGACUGGGCAAUUUACAAAAAAAAGAGAUUUAUUGGAUUUACAGUUCCUCAUGGGUGGGGAGGCCUCACAAUCAUGGUGGAAGGCAAGGAGGAGUAAAUCAUGUCUUACGUGGAUGGCAGUAGACAAAAAGAGAGAGCUUUUGCAUGGAAACUCCCAUAUUUAAAAUCAUCAGCUUGCAUGAGACUUAUUCAGCACCAUGAGAACAGCAUAGGAAAGACCCGCCCCCAUGAUUCAAUUACCUCCCACCAGGUUCCUCCUAUUACAAGUGGGAAUUGUGGGAGUUACAAUUCAAGAUGAGAUUUGGGUGGGGACAAAGCCAAACGAAGGGAGCAGUGUUCAUUUUUUACAAGGAAAAACGGAUCCUUUCUGGUGGACCCAGAAGGUUUAAGAGAAUCCAGGUAUUCAAGAUUUUAUUGUAUUUAUUUAUUUUUCUUGAGACAGAAUCUCUCUCUGUCACCCAGGCUAAAGUGCGGUGUUGAAAUUAUAGUUCACUGCAACCUUCACCUCCUGAGCUCAAAUGAUUCUUACUCUGUCUUUUGAGUAGUUAGGACUACAGGUGUGCACCAUGUUGACCCUGCUAUUUCUCUCUCUCUCUCUCUUCUUUUUUUUUUGUAGAGACAAGGUCUCCCUAUGUUGCUCAGGGUGGUCUGGAACUCCUGGCCUCAAGUAAUCAUCCCACAUUGGCCUCCUGAAGUGCUAGGAUUACAGUGCCUUUAAUUAUGUGACUGGACCUGCAGAAUUCCUGGUCUUUUCUACAGUCCAUCCUUCCUACACCUGCCCAGCAGAAUUAUACUCCUCUCGCAUGGCUGCCCUCAGGACCUCCUGUCUGGAAUGAAAUGGACGUUCUUACUCAUCAUACCAUAAGCAUCCAGGUGAAUGAUUGCUCACUUCUUUCAUCUAAUGAGGAAUUGGCUUUCUUGAGAAUCUCAAUGCAGUGUACCUCCAACCUUAACAGACUGCUGUAAAACACCCUGACCAUUCUUUAGUAUAAGCACUGAAGAAGACAGUAUGUUGACCACGAGGCACCUGGCCUGGCUCAUAGUAUGCCAUCAAGAAAUGCUAAUUUUCUAUUUCCUCUUUUUCAAAGAGUUAUUUCAAGAAAGAAAGGAGAGGAGAGGAUGUUACAAAUUCCAUGUAAAUAAAAUUUGUCACUAAUUCUGUGAACUAAUUGAUAUCAUAAUUUGAUUCUCUUACCUCUUUUUAAUCUCUCUAUUAGUCCAUUUUUAUGCUGUGAAUAAAGACAUACCUGAGACUGGGCAAUUUACAAAAGAA